rfam:Lysinibacillus xylanilyticus strain DSM 23493 Scaffold1, whole genome shotgun sequence.
AAAAGAUGAACUCAGGCUAAGAACUUCACAUCCUGUGAAAACGCCUGAGUGACCAACAUCGUGUUGG